rnacentral:rRNA from 1 species
UUGCAUCGAUGAAGAACGUAGCGAAAUGCGAUACCUGGUGUGAAUUGCAGAAUCCCGCGAACCGUCGAGUCUUUGAACGCAAGUUGCGCCCGAGGCCGCCCGCGCCGAGGGCACGCCUGCCUGGGCGUCACGC